AUAAUCACCUUUAUUAUAUAAUCCUCAGGUUGGGUGAGGCUUUUCCUAGACGCCUUGCUUAUCAUUCCAGUCAAACAAGAAGGACAUAAAUACAGUCUUUUUGUGCCCGUUUAAGAAGGAUGUCUGUAAAAGGCGCAAAGGGAGGAGCUGAUAGUCGACCUUCCUCUUCAGCCAGCAAUUCUCCUCGAGGGGGGAGGGCUCCGGCGGCCGGCAGAUCUCCAACCUCCAGCAGAUUCAAAAACAAGGCUCUUCAGCUCAGCCUCUCCAAGAAAUUCUGCUCCAAGUCUCCCACCGCUCAGAAAAAGGGCAACGGUGGCGGCGAUCAGGAGAGUCGUCGACGCGGGAAACGGAGCCUCGGCAACAGCUCGGCGGUGGCUGCCGCCUACAUCGCCUACCUCGACAAACUCUUUGGACAGGAGCGAGAGCUGAUGCCUCUGGAGUUCGACGAGUUGCGAGAGGCCUUCAAGGAGUUUGACUACGACGCGGACGGCUUCAUACAUUACAAAGACAUUGCCGACUGCAUGAGGACCAUGGGCUACAUGCCGACAGAAAUGGAACUGAUCGAGAUCAUCCAGCAGAUCAAGAUGAGAUGGGGCGGCCACGUGGACUUCGACGACUUCUGCCAGUUAAUGGGCCCCAGGAUGCUGGCGGAGACCGCUCACAUGCUCGGGCUCAAGGAGCUGCGCUGCGCCUUCAAACAGGGACAGCUCAGCACCCGGAGCCUCACGACGCGAUUCUUGAGUUCUUCCUUCAGUCCUCGAUAUUUUUCCAGCUUUUUGUGUUCCUUGUCUCGGAUGUCGCAAUCACGACCGCUGUUCAUCCACCACUAACUAGUUUGUCAAUCUGGAUCUGGAAGUCCCGCGGGAUCUCGGCCUGGUUGGGUGGAGUCUGCCAUCUUGAUUCUGGGACCUCCUGUCCAUAUUUGGUACAGAUGUUCCAGUACACUAUUCCUGCUUCUCUAGUGGUAGAGUUAAGAAGAAGAAGAUGGAUUAAGUCGGUUCGACUGCAACGGGGACGGGAAGAUUACGCUGGAGGAGCUGAAGGACGGCAUGAAGACCCUCCUCGGCGAGAAGCUGAAGAAGGGCGAGCUGGAGGAGAUCCUCGGUGACAUCGACCUAAACAAAGAUGGCGACAUCGAC